AGGCCUGUUUCUGUGGUGGUUUCGGGAUGUGCAAGCAGCGGCGGCUUCUUGCUCCCGCGUUUCAUCAUUUCCCAUGUUCUUUCGCUGCUGCAAAGUCCAACCGUGCAGCGUUGGGGAUCCUCAGGCUCCUGUCGAAGGACUGCGCACAUCUUUGGAACAUAUGACACGAAGGUCAAGACCGGCCUGGCAACCUUGUUUGCCAAGUGGAAGCAGUCUGUAAAUCGCCCUUUCAUCAUCCCGACAGACUUCCUCACGGGAGGCGUACGACAAGUCCUGGAUGCCUGCACACUGUCAUCACAUAACAUUCCUCGGCGGCUGUGUCGUGGAGAAGAUCGAAAUGCAGAUAUUUUAUCCUAGCGCUUCACAGUAAGAUGGCUCAAGGGGUCUGCUCUGGCGCUAGGUACUGUGCUAGAGACUGAGCUGACGAGUGGCUGACGUGUUUGGACAUGCCCCCUAG